GAGGAGUUCAAAUAACCCACACUGAAGUGUGUGAGCAGGAGGUGGCCAUUCCUCCUCACCUUUAGUGUGUCCUCUGCAGUAGGACACCAGGAGCUGUCCCCAGGUGGUUGUGGUAAUAGGGGACAGAAGAUGCCCAGAUCCUACCAGAGAGAAUGCACUGUGUUCUCAGUUCUUGUGUUUUUCACAUCAAAGGGUUUCAAGCAAG
rnacentral:lncRNA from 1 species